ACGGAGGGUGCAAGCGUUGCUCGGAAUCACUGGGCGUAAAGCGUCCGCAGGCGGACUUAUAAGUCGGAUGUGAAAGCCCGGGGCUCAACCCCGGAACUGCAUUCGAAACUGCAAGUCUUGAGUACGAGAGAGGAAAGCGGAAUUCCUGGUGUAGAGGUGAAAUUCGUAGAUAUCAGGAGGAACACCUGUGGCGAAAGCGGCUUUCUGGCUCGAUACUGACGCUCAUGGACGAAAGCGUGGGGAGCAAACAGG
rnacentral:rRNA from 1 species